rnacentral:rRNA from 1 species
UACGUAGGGUGCGAGCGUUAAUCGGAAUUACUGGGCGUAAAGCGUGCGCAGGCGGUCUGUUAAGACCGAUGUGAAAUCCCCGAGCUUAACCUGGGAACUGCAUUGGUGACUGGCGGGCUAGAGUAUGGCAGAGGGGGGUAGAAUUCCACGUGUAGCAGUGAAAUGCGUAGAGAUGUGGAGGAAUACCGAUGGCGAAGGCAGCCCCCUGGGCCAAUACUGACGCUCAUGCACGAAAGCGUGGGGAGCAAACAGG